AGGAGUGUGCCCUGGCCCUAGCUGCUCUAUUCCAUCCAGAAGUGAGAGUCAACACUUUGUAUUAAAAGAUUUGUUUGUAUUACUGUGUACCUAAAGUCCAUUGCUCUUAACUGAUGCACAGUAUUCCAUAGUAGGUAUACAUUCAUCACUUCAGUCCAGUUCCUGAACAGUGAUCUCUUUAAGUUGUCUGAAACUUCCUGCUGCUUUUUACUUAUAUGAUUAAAAUGCAGAAGAACUGCCGGAUUUUAGGGUAAUUUAAAAAUUAUAUUUGUAGUUCCAUCUUUCCUAUUUAGAUCUUUACUUCAUAUAGAUAUUUUAUUGUAUCUAACAUUGCUCAUUCCCUUUCCAAUCAAGUCAGUCUUAUUGGACGAGAGAAGGAGGUUAGCCCUUAUCAUGAAUGAUUAUGGUAAUUGUUGCACAU
rnacentral:lncRNA from 1 species